rnacentral:rRNA from 1 species
UUGAACGCUGGCGGCAGGCCUAACACAUGCAGGUCGAACGGUAACAGGAAGCAGCUUGCUGCUUUGCUGACGAGUGGCGGACGGGUGAGUAAUGUCUGGGAAACUGCCCGAUGGAGGGGGAUAACUACUGGAAACGGUAGCUAAUACCGCAUAACGUCGCAAGACCAAAGAGGGGGACCUUAGGGCCUCUUGCCAUCGGAUGUGCCCAGAUGGGAUUAGCUAGUAGGUGGGGUAACGGCUCACCUAGGCGACGAUCCCUAGCUGGUCUGAGAGGAUGACCAGCCACACUGGAACUGAGACACGGUCCAGACUCCUACGGGAGGCAGCAGUGGGGAAUAUUGCACAAUGGGCGCAAGCCUGAUGCAGCCAUGCCGCGUGUAUGAAGAAGGCCUUCGGGUUGUAAAGUACUUUCAGCGGGGAGGAAGGGAGUAAAGUUAAUACCUUUGCUCAUUGACGUUACCCGCAGAAGAAGCACCGGCUAACUCCGUG